rnacentral:rRNA from 1 species
UACGGAGGUGGCGAGCGUUGUUCGGAAUUACUGGGCGUAAAGGGCGCGUAGGCGGGGGGAGAAGUCGGGUGUGAAAGCCCUCGGCUCAACCGAGGAAGUGCACCCGAAACUGCAAGACUUGAGUGUCGGAGAGGGUGACGGAAUUCCCGGUGUAGAGGUGAAAUUCGUAGAUAUCGGGAGGAACAUCAGUGGCGAAGGCGGUCACCUGGACGAUAACUGACGCUGAGGCUCGAAAGCGUGGGGAGCAAACAGG